GAUGAACGCUGGCGGCGUGCCUAAUACAUGCAAGUCGAGCGAACGGACGAGAAGCUUGCUUCUCUGAUGUUAGCGGCGGACGGGUGAGUAACACGUGGAUAACCUACCUAUAAGACUGGGAUAACUUCGGGAAACCGGAGCUAAUACCGGAUAAUAUUUUGAACCGCAUGGUUCAAAAGUGAAAGACGGUCUUGCUGUCACUUAUAGAUGGAUCCGCGCUGCAUUAGCUAGUUGGUAAGGUAACGGCUUACCAAGGCAACGAUGCAUAGCCGACCUGAGAGGGGGACCGGCCACACUGGAACUGAGACACGGCCCAGAAUCCUACGGGAGGCAGCAGUAGGGAAUCUUCCGAAAGGGGCGAAAGCCUGACGGAGAAACGCCGCGGGAGUGAAGAAGGUUUUCGGAUCGUAAAACUCUGUUAUUAGGGAAGAAAAUAUGUUUAAGUAACUGUGCACAUCUUGACGGUACCUAAACAGAAAGCCCCGGCUAACUACGU
rnacentral:rRNA from 1 species